GUAUUUGACAUUGCAUUCAUAUAAUUCUUAUCCAAAGCAUGUACAGAAACAUAUAACCAAAGCUCUGGAUAUCAUAUCAAACAUAUAGAAGGUGCAGUGGGACCGCAGACAGAAUGUGAAUCAUCCAUUUCUGAAUGACCACCAGAUAGAAGUCUCCCACGUCUGGGAGAUCCAUCCACCCACGUCUAGGUGAAGUCAGAGGGGGACCGGCAGAGCAUCUCAGGCUCUAUGCACAUACCCUUUACCAUUUCUGGCAAAGGUCCAGAUAAUCCCACAAACACCAGAGUACAAAAGGCAGUAUGAACAAUAAAUAGCACAUAUCGGA
rnacentral:lncRNA from 1 species